AACCAUAGAAACCUGCGGAGUACCUGCGGAAGGAUCAUUACAGAGUUGCAAAACUCCCUAAACCAUUGUGAACGUUACCUAAACCGUUGCUUCGGCGGGCGGCCCGGGUCCUUCCCGGCGCCCAUCGGCCCUCGCGGGCGCCCGCCGGAGGUAAACCAAACCAUUGCAUUGUAUGGCCUCUCUGAGUCUUCUGUACUGAAUAAGUCAAAACUUUCAACAACGGAUCUCAGAUCGGAAGAG
rnacentral:misc_RNA from 1 species